rnacentral:lncRNA from 1 species
CCCUGAUAAACAGUAGUCUACUGUAUGUGAUCCCCAUGUCGGUUCACCACAAUCAGUAAAGCCCUGAUAAACCAGUGUCUACUUAUGUGAUCCUCAGUGUCGGUCACCCAGUCAGUAAAGCCUGCCCUGAUAAACAGAGUCUACUGUUGUGAUCACCAUGUCGGUUCCCCACACUAGUCAGUAAAGCCCUAUAAACAGUAGUCUACUGUAUGUGAUCCUAGUGUCGUUCACCCACAGUCAGUAAAGCCCGAUAAACAGCAGUCUACUGUAUGUGAUCCUCAGUGUCGGUUCACCACAGUCAGUAAAGCCCUGCUAAACAGUAGUCUACUGUAUGUGCUCCUCAGUGUCGGUUCACCACAGUCAGUAAAGCCCUGAUAAACAGUAGUCUACUGUAUGUGAUCCUCAGUGUCGGUUCACCACAGUCAGUAAAGCCCUGAUAAACAGUAGUCUACUGU